ensembl:lncRNA novel transcript
GAAAGUCACACAGCUCUGCAGCUGAGAUGAGCCACUCCAGCUUCAUUGUCACCAGCUACACAGGGAGGGACUUGGUCGGGACCUAUAUGCUCAACGUGCAUUAUCCUGCUUUAUGCUGGCACAUCUAAGAUCUCUACCGUGACUCCAGGAAGAUGGGACGCAAAAAAGGGAAAAUGAGACCAUGGCUAUUAUUAUUUGAAGAAAGCUGUUUGUUACAAAGCAAAAGGGGAAGACCUUGCCUGUCUAUAAAUUGAUGUUAAAAAAAAAAGAAGAAAGAAAAAGAAAACUCUCCACCAUUAAUAUACUCCUCUUCCAAGAUAGGAAUAAUAAAUCUUGAAGUGGUUCAUUAAAUAUUAAAUACUUA